CUACGGGAGGCACCAGGCGAGAAAACUUUGCAAUGUGCGAAAGCACGACAAGGUUAAUCCGAGUGGUUUGUGCUAAACGAACCUUUUGACAGUCCUAGAAACACUGUUGAAUAAGGGGUGGGCAAGUUCUGGUGUCAGCCGCCGCGGUAAAACCAGCACCUCAAGUGGUCAGGAUGAUUAUUGGGCCUAAAGCAUCCGUAGCCGGCUCUGUAAGUUUUCGGUUAAAUCUGUACGCUCAACGUACAGGCUGCCGGGAAUACUGCAGAGCUAGGGAGUGGGAGAGGUAGACGGUACUUGGUAGGAAGGGGUAAAAUCCUUUGAUCUAUUGAUGACCACCUGUGGCGAAGGCGGUCUACCAGAACACGUCCGACGGUGAGGGAUGAAAGCUGGGGGAGCAAACCGGAUUAGAUACCCGCGUAGUC
rnacentral:rRNA from 1 species